rnacentral:rRNA from 1 species
AGUGAACGCUGGCGGUAGGCCUAACACAUGCAAGUCGAACGGCAGCACAGUAAGAGCUUGCUCUUACGGGAGGCGAGUGGCGGACGGGUGAGGAAUACAUCGGAAUCUACUUUUUCGUGGGGGAUAACGUAGGGAAACUUACGCUAAUACCGCAUACGACCUACGGGUGAAAGCAGGGGAUCUUCGGACCUUGCGCGAUUGAAUGAGCCGAUGUCGGAUUAGCUAGUUGGCGGGGUAAAGGCCCACCAAGGCGACGAUCCGUAGCUGGUCUGAGAGGAUGAUCAGCCACACUGGAACUGGAACACGGUCCAGACUCCUACGGGAGGCAGCAGUGGGGAAUAUUGGACAAUGGGCGCAAGCCUGAUCCAGCCAUACCGCGUGGGUGAAGAAGGCCUUCGGGUUGUAAAGCCCUUUUGUUGGGAAAGAAAAGCAGCAGGUUAAUACCCCGCUGUUCUGACGGUACCCAAAGAAUAAGCACCGGCUAACUUCGUG